rnacentral:rRNA from 1 species
GACGAACGCUGGCGGCGUGCUUAACACAUGCAAGUCGAACGGUAAGGCCCUUCGGGGUACACGAGUGGCGAACGGGUGAGUAACACGUGGGUGAUCUGCCCUGCACUUCGGGAUAAGCCUGGGAAACUGGGUCUAAUACCGGAUAGGACCACUGCCUGCAUGGGUGGUGGUGGAAAGCUUUUGCGGUGUGGGAGAGCCUCGCGGCCUAUCAGCUUGUUGGUGGGGUAACGGCCCACCAAGGCAUCGACGGGUAGCUGGUCUGAGAGGACGAUCAGCCACACUGGGACUGAGACACGGCCCAGACUCCUACGGGAGGCAGCAGUGGGGAAUCUUGCGCAAUGGGCGAAAGCCUGACGCAGCAACGCCGCGUGCGGGAUGAAGGCCCUCGGGUUGUAAACCGCUUUCAGUGGGGACGAACCAAGACGGUACCCACAGAAGAAGGUCCGGCCAACUACGUGCCAGCCGCCGCCGUAA